GAUGAACGCUGGCGGCGUGCCUAAUACAUGCAAGUCGAGCGGACGGACGAGAAGCUUGCUUCUCUGACGUUUGCGGCGGACGGGUGAGUAACACGUGGAUAACCUACCUAUAAGACUGGGAUAACUUCGGGAAACCGGAGCUAAUACCGGAUGAUCUCUUGAACCGCAUUGUUCAAUAGUGAAAGACGGUCUUGCUGUCUCUUCUAGCUGGAUCCGCGCUGCAUUAGCUAGUUGGUAAGGUAACGGCUUACCAAGGCAACGAUGCAUAGGCGACCUGAGAGGGGGAUCGGCCACACGAGAGCGGGGACACGGACCAUGCUCCUACGAGAGGGAGCAGUAGGGAAUGUUCCGCAAUAGUCGAAAGUAUGACGGAGCAGCGCGGCGUGAGUGAUGGAGGUCUUGGGAUCGUAAAGCUCUGUUAUUGGGGAAGAACAUAUGUGGAAGGAACUGUGGACUUCUUGACGGUACCUAAUCAGAAAGCCACGGCUAACUACGUG
rnacentral:rRNA from 1 species